UCUCUGGUGGCUUAGAUGGUAAAGAAUCUGCCUGCAAUGCAGGAGACCCAGGUUCGAUCCCUGGUUUGGGAA
rnacentral:tRNA from 1 species